GAUGAACGCUGGCGGCGUGCCUAAUACAUGCAAGUCGAGCGAACGGACGAGAAGCUUGCUUCUCUGAUGUUAGCGGCGGACGGGUGAGUAACACGUGGAUAACCUACCUAUAAGACUGGGAUAACUUCGGGAAACCGUAGCUAAUACCGGAUAAUAUUUUGAACCGCAUGGUUCAAAAGUGAAAGACGGUCUUGCUGUCACUUAUAGAUGGAUCCGCGCUGCAUUAGCUAGUUGGUAAGGUAACGGCCUACCAAGGCAACGAUGCAUAGCCGACCUGAGAGGGUGAUCGGCCACACUGGAACUGAGACACGGUCCAGACUCCUACGGGAGGCAGCAGUAGGGAAUCUUCCGCAAUGGGCGAAAGCCUGACGGAGCAACGCCGCGUGAGUGAUGAAGGUCUUCGGAUCGUAAAACUCUUUUAUUAGGGAAGAACAUAUGUGUAAGUAACUGUGCACAUCUUGACGUUACCUAAUCAGAAAGCCACGGCUAACUACGUG
rnacentral:rRNA from 1 species